AAAGGCUCGUCAUUAGCAAUAUUUCAUCCAUUCAAGUACAAGCUUUUGUGGUGUUCUCCCCGAUCACUUGAGGGAGUAUAAUAUAGCAAAAUGAUAAUUUAGGAGUCUAAAGUACCUUUUUUUUGGGGAUAGCAAGAGAAAGUUGUACAACAAUGACAAGGGGAGCAAAAAGCCGUGUCAAAUAAACAAUUCCCCAACCCUAGCAACUGUACAAA
rnacentral:lncRNA from 1 species